rnacentral:rRNA from 1 species
GAUGAACGCUAGCGGCAGGCUUAAUACGUGCAAGUCGAGGGGCAGCAGUUUUGUAGCAAUACAGAAGCUGGCGACCGGCAAACGGGUGCGGAACACGUACGCAACCUUCCUCUAACUGGAAGAUAGCCCACCGAAAGGUGGAUUAAUAUUCCAUAGUAUAUUGAAAAGGCAUCUUUUUGAUAUUAAAGCUCCGGCGGUUAGAGAUGGGCGUGCGUCUGAUUAGGUAGUUGGCGGGGUAACGGCCCACCAAGCCUACGAUCAGUAGCUGAUGUGAGAGCAUGAUCAGCCACACGGGCACUGAGACACGGGCCCGACUCCUACGGGAGGCAGCAGUAAGGAAUAUUGGUCAAUGGACGCAAGUCUGAACCAGCCAUGCCGCGUGGAGGAUGAAGGCCCUCUGGGUUGUAAACUUCUUUUCUUUGGGACGAAACCCCUGUUUCUACGGGGACUGACGGUACCAGAGGAAUAAGCACCGGCUAACUCCGUGCCAGCAGCCGCCGUAAUAC